UUGGAGGGCAAGUCUGGUGCCAGCAGCCGCGGUAAUUCCAGCUCCAAUAGCGUAUAUUAAAGUUGUUGCAGUUAAAAAGCUCGUAGUUGAAUUUCGGGAUUCAUCCGUCGGUCGGGCUUUUGGGUCUGUACUGGCGUGAUAGAUUCCUACCUUCUGAAUAACCGGCAUGUCAUUAAUUUGGUGCGCCGGGGAAGCAGGACUGUUACCUUGAAAAAAUUAGAGUGCUUAAAGCAGGCUUAUGCCUGAAUACAUUAGCAUGGAAUAAUGAAAUAGGACGGCAUGGUUCUAUUUUGUUGGUUUCUAGGAUCACCGUAAUGAUUAAUAGGGAUAGUUGGGGGCAUUAGUAUUUAAUUGUCAGAGGUGAAAUUCUUGGAUUUAUUAAAGACUAACUUCUGCGAAAGCAUUUGCCAAGGAUGUUUUCAUUAAUCAAGAACGAAAGUUAGGGGAUCGAAGACGAUCAGAUACCGUCGUAGUCUUAACCAUAAACUAUGCCGACUAGGGAUCGGACGAUGUUAAUUUUUUAAUGACUCGUUCGGCGCCUUACGGGAAAC
rnacentral:rRNA from 1 species